rnacentral:rRNA from 1 species
UACGUAGGGGGCAAGCGUUGUCCGGAAUCAUUGGGCGUAAAGCGCGCGUAGGCGGCCCUGUAAGUCCGUUGUGAAAGUCAAAGGCUCAACCUUUGAAAGCCGAUGGAUACUGCAGGGCUAGAGUCCGGAAGAGGCGAGUGGAAUUCCUGGUGUAGCGGUGGAAUGCGCAGAUAUCAGGAGGAACACCAAUAGCGAAGGCAGCUCGCUGGGACGGUACUGACGCUAAGGCGCGAAAGCUAGGGGAGCAAACGGG